UACAGAGGUGGCAAGCGUUGUUCGGAAUUACUGGGCGUAAAGGGCGCGUAGGCGGUCUUGUAAGUCUUGUGUGAAAUCCCUCGGCUCAACUGAGGAACUGCACGGGAUACUGCGAGACUUGAGUUCGGGAGAGGGAAGCGGAAUUCCGGGUGUAGCGGUGAAAUGCGUAGAUAUCUGGAGGAACACCGGUGGCGAAGGCGGCAUCCUGGACCAACACUGACGCUGAGGAGCGAAAGCCAGGGGAGCGAACGGG
rnacentral:rRNA from 1 species